rnacentral:lncRNA from 1 species
UGCCCUUUUUCUUUUAAAAUCUUCUUUGUAAAUUAUUUUUCUUGGUUCCCUAUGCUGCUUAAAUUUUCUCUGAUGUCUUUGCAAUGAUAUUGCUCUGCAGAUACCUGAAUUAUAUCAGAUCUACAGAUCACAUGAGUAUGUAGCCAUAGCAACGGACAGGCCAGGGAACUCUCCAGGAUUUUACACCAACCCUACGAGAUGCUGACGUUAACCUCUGAGGGCAUAUGUUAUGGUGCACGUUUUCCAAGAUGAUGGACCUGGGGAC